rnacentral:lncRNA from 1 species
GCUGUGCUAGCAAUCAGCGAGACUCCGUGGGCUAGGACCCUCCGAGCCAGGUGCAGGAUAUAAUCUCAUUGUGCGCCGCUUUUUUAAGUCCGUUGGAAAAGCGCAGUAUUCGGGUGGGAGUGACCCGAUUUUCCAGGUGCCGUCCAUCACCCCUUUCUUUGACUCGGAAAGGGAACUCCCUGACCCCUUGCGCUUCCCGAGUGAGGCAAUGCCUCGCCCUGCUUCGGCUCCGGCACGGUGCGCGCACCCACUGACCUGCGCCCACUGUUUGGCACUCCCUAGCGAGAUGAACCCGAUACCUCAGAUGGAAAUGCAGAAAUCACCUGUCUUCUGCGUCGCUCAGGCUGGGAGCUGUAGAUUGGAGCGGUUCCUAUUCUGCCAUCUUGGCUCCUCCCUAUACUAUCUUCUAGUUUCUUAAGUUGUAAAGGACCUGAUGGGACAGCAAUGGUGUCACUGGGGGAUUGCAAGAGGAUCAGCAACUUUCUAGGGAGACUAUAACAGAUGGGAAAGACCUAGACCAUCUUCUUAUUUCACUGGGCUAUAUUAAGCAGAGACGAGGGGAGUGAAAAAAGAAUACAACCAUAAAAAAGGAUGAGUUCAUGUCUUUCGCAGGGACAUGGAUGAAGCUGGAAACCAUCAUUCUCAGCAAACUAGCACAAGAACAGAAAACCAAACACCGCAUGUUCUCAAUCAUAAGUGGGAGCUGAACAAUAAGAACACAUGGACACAGGGAGGGGAACAUCACACAUCGGGGUCUGUCAGGGGGUGGGGGGCUAGGGGAGGGAUAGCAUUAGGAGAAAUAGCUAAUGUGGAUGAUGGUUUGAUGGGAGCAGCAAACCGCCAUGGCAUGCGUAUACCUAUGUAACAAAACUGCAUGUUUGCACAUGUAUCCCAGAACUUAAAGUAUUAAAAAAAAAAAAAACAAAGAAUGGGGAAGGGGAUCAUCAUUUCUACAAAGCUGG